UUUGCUGAGGAGCGUUGCGUCCCCGGAUGAAUGGGGGUCAGGCUCAGCGAAAUCAACGGCGCUCGCACUGG
rnacentral:ncRNA from 2 species